UUAAAAAGCUCGUAGUUGAACCUUGGGCCUAGCCUUCCGGUCCCCCUCACCGGGUGCACUGGCUCGGCUGGGCCUUUCCUUCUGGAGAACCGCAUGCCCUUCACUGGGUGUGCCGGGGAACCAGGACUUUUACUCUGAACAAAUUAGAUCGCUUAAAGAAGGCCUAUGCUCGAAUAGUCUAGCAUGGAAUAAUAGAAUAGGACGUGUGGUUCUAUUUUGUUGGUUUCUAGGACCGCCGUAAUGAUUAAUAGGGACAGUCGGGGG
rnacentral:rRNA from 1 species